rnacentral:tRNA from 1 species
GGCUCUGUAGCUCAGCUGGUUAGAGCAUUCGGUUCAUACCCGAAAGGUCAAGAGUUCGACUCUCUUCGGAGCUA